GCGUACGCGCGAGCGCCAUCGAUCCCAGCGCCAUCGAUCCCAGCGCCCCGAUCCCCUCCCUGGGCGUCUACGCAAGCGCCCUGCGCGAGCGCGGUGAUCUCGGCCGCGGCUGCGACCGUGACCUCUCGAGCGCCAUCUAUGCGCUCCGCCGCCGCCAGCAUCCCCAGCGCAUCAACAGAUAAAGCUCCACCUCCUCCAGAAGCACCGCCCCUCCAUCCCCGUGCCGCCGCUGCGAGGUCUGCUCCUUCCACCCGAACUCUGCUCCGUCCCCACACACAACAUCGCCGCCUCCGCUUGUCGCCGCCUCCCUCUUCCCCUGCUCCCCCUUCGUCGACACCGCUCCAUCCGUGGCAGUUGCAGCAUAACUCGCUUCCCUGCUUCGUCUUCCCCAAUGGAGGACACGAGGUCAGCGACCCCUACCCGAUCUGCCUGAGGUUGCGACGCCACCAACGGCCGAUCUACCUAACGUUACGAUGCCUCCGUCCUCUCCGGAUUCGCUUGGGGCCUAACAUCCACUGGCUCAGUCCCCCUCGAGUCAUAUGAGGUGGGACACACGUGCAUCCAAACAGUGAGUUUCCAUUGACGGGUUGCUUGCCAUUCAUGGUUUGUGUCAAAUUAGGUACACAGAUACACGGACAAGAGUUGUGAUCAAGGAGUGAUUCUGUGAGCUGGAGUGACACAGUUAAAUUCAAAACUCUAGCAGCAGGUUCCGAUGAGCUAUCCUUUGUGAUCUAUGGUGAUAUGCAGAAGGCUCCACAGGACCCAUCAGUGGAACACUACAUUCAGCCUGGAUCGGUUUCGUGGCUAGGGUAGUGGCUAAAGAGAUCCAAACAGGAAAUGUAGACUCCAUUUUCAUAGGAGACAUCAGCUAUGCCACAAGCUUCCUGGUCGAGUGGGACUUCUUCCUUCACCUCAUCACACCACUCGCCUCUCAGUCUCAAGUACAUGACAACUAUUGGUAAUCACGAAAGGUGACUUUCUUUAUUCAGAAUCUUGCACUUCCAGUGCAAUUUUUAGCAAUAGUGGUAAGGAUAGUGGUGUCAUCUACUAUAUUGUACUAUCAUUGUGAGACUCGCAAGAA